rnacentral:rRNA from 1 species
UUUACCCGUGAACUUAAGCAUAUCCAUAAGCGGAGGAAAAGAAACCCACAGGGAUUGCCUCAGUAACGGCGAGUGAAGCGGCAACAGCUCAAAUUUGAAAGCUGGCUCUUUCAGAGCCCGCAUUGUAAUUUGUAGAGGAUGCUUCGGGUGCGGCGCUGGUCUAAGUUCUUUGGAACAAGACGUCAUAGAGGGUGAGAAUCCCGUAUGUGACUGGCUGCCUGCGCCUGUGUGAAGCUCCUUCGACGAGUCGAGUUGUUUGGGAAUGCAGCUCAAAAUGGGUGGUGUACUUCAUCUAAAGCUAAAUAUUGGCCAGAGACCGAUAGCGCACAAGUAGAGUGAUCGAAAGAUGAAAAGCACUUUGGAAAGAGAGUUAAACAGUACGUGAAAUUGUUGAAAGGGAAGCGCUUGCAAUCAGACUUUGCGCGGCGUCGAUCAACCUGGGUUUUCCCUGGUGCACUCGGCGCCGCUCAGGCCAGCAUCAGUUUCAGCGGUUGGAUAAAGGCCUAGGGAACGUGGGUUACUUCGGUGACUGUUAUAGCCCUAGGUGCAAUGCAGCCUGCUGGGACUGAGGACCGGCUUCGGCUAGGAUGCUGGCGUAAUGGUUGUAAGCGACCCGUCUUGAAACACGGACCAAGGAGUCUAACAUCUAUGCGAGUUUUUGGGUGUUAAACCCAUAAGCGUAAUGAAAGUGAACGGAGGUGAGAACCCUUAAGGGUGCAUCAUCGACCGAUCCUGAUGUCUUCGGAUGGAUUUGAGUAAGAGCAUAGCUGUUGGGACCCGAAAGAUGAUGAUCUAUACCUGAAUAGGGUGAAGCCAGAGGAAACUCUGGUGGAGGCUCGCAGCGGUUCUGACGUGCAAAUCGAUCGUCAAAUUUGGGUAUAGGGGCGAAAGACUAAUCGAAUCAUCUAGUAGCUGGUUCACGCCGAAGUUUCCCUCAGGA